GCCCCUGUGGCGGAACUGGUAGACGCGGCAGACUCAAAAUCUGUUGAUCUUACGAUCGUGCUGGUUCGAUUCCGGCCAGGGGCACCA
rnacentral:tRNA from 1 species